rnacentral:rRNA from 1 species
AUUGAACGCUGGCGGCAGGCUUAACACAUGCAAGUCGAGCGAGCGGCGGACGGGUGAGUAAUGUCUUGGAAACUGCCUGAUGGAGGGGGAUAACUACUGUAACCGGUAGCUAAUACCGCAUACCAUCAGAUGUGCCCUGAUGGGAUUAGCUAGUAGGUGGGGUAAUGGCUCACCUAGGCGACGAUCCCUACCUGGUCUGAGAGGAUGACCAGCCACACGGGAACUGAGACACGGACCAGACGCCUACGGGAGGCAGCAGUGGGGAAGAUUGGACAAUGGGCGCAAGCCUGAUGCAGCCAUGCCGCGUGUGUGAAGAAGGCCUUCGGGUUGUAAAGCACUUUCGGCGAGGAGGCGUUACUCGCAGAAGAAGCACCGGCUAACUCCGUGCCAGCCGCCGCGGUAAUUC